rnacentral:rRNA from 1 species
UUCCAGCUCCUAAAACGUAUAUUAAAGUUGUUGCGGUUAAAAAGCUCGUAGUUGGAUUUCUGUUGAGAUCGGUCGGUCCCCACUCUGUGGGCGUAUCUGAUAUGGUCUUGGCAUCCUCAUAGGGAACCGGAGGCACUUCACUGUGUGGCCGGGAAUCUAUGACUUUUACUUUGAGGAAAUUAGAGUGUUCAAAGCAGGCGACCGCCUUGAAUACGUUAGCAUGGAAUAAUAAUAUAGGACUUUGGGCCCUAUUUUGUUGGUUUCUAGGACUAAAGUAAUGAUUAACAGGGAUAUUUGGGGCAUUUGUAUUAACCGGUCAGAGGUGGAAUUCUUGGAUUCGGUUACGACAAACUAAUGCGAAAGCAUUUGCCAAGGAUGUUUUUCAUUGAUCAAGAACGAAAGUGUGGGGAUCGAAGAUGAUUAGAUACCGUCGUAGUCUACACCAUAAACUAUGCCGAUUAGAGAUUGGAGGUUGCCUAUUCUUAGCUCCUUCAGCAUCUUUCGAGAAAUCAAAAUUUUGGGUU